rnacentral:rRNA from 1 species
AAAUUGAAGAGUUUGAUCAUGGCUCAGAUUGAACGCUGGCGGCAGGCCUAACACAUGCAAGUCGAACGGUAGCACAGAGAGCUUGCUCUCGGGUGACGAGUGGCGGACGGGUGAGUAAUGUCUGGGAAACUGCCUGAUGGAGGGGGAUAACUACUGGAAACGGUGGCUAAUACCGCAUAACGUCGCAAGACCAAAGAGGGGGACCUUCGGGCCUCUUGCCAUCAGAUGUGCCCAGAUGGGAUUAGCUUGUUGGUGAGGUAACGGCUCACCAAGGCGACGAUCCCUAGCUGGUCUGAGAGGAUGACCAGCCACACUGGAACUGAGACACGGUCCAGACUCCUACGGGAGGCAGCAGUGGGGAAUAUUGCACAAUGGGCGCAAGCCUGAUGCAGCCAUGCCGCGUGUAUGAAGAAGGCCUUCGGGUUGUAAAGUACUUUCAGCGGGGAGGAAGGUGUUGUGGUUAAUAACCACAGCAAUUGACGUUACCCGCAGAAGAAGCACCGGCUAACUCCGUGCCAGCAGCCGCGGUAAUACGGAGGGUGCAAGCGUUAAUCGGAAUUACUGGGCGUAAAGCGCACGCAGGCGGUCUGUCAAGUCGGAUGUGAAAUCCCCGGGCUCAACCUGGGAACUGCAUUCGAAACUGGCAGGCUUGAGUCUUGUAGAGGGGGGUAGAAUUCCAGGUGUAGCGGUGAAAUGCGUAGAGAUCUGGAGGAAUACCGGUGGCGAAGGCGGCCCCCUGGACAAAGACUGACGCUCAGGUGCGAAAGCGUGGGGAGCAAACAGGAUUAGAUACCCUGGUAGUCCACGCCGUAAACGAUGUCUACUUGGAGGUUGUGCCCUUGAGGCGUGGCUUCCGGAGCUAACGCGUUAAGUAGACCGCCUGGGGAGUACGGCCGCAAGGUUAAAACUCAAAUGAAUUGACGGGGGCCCGCACAAGCGGUGGAGCAUGUGGUUUAAUUCGAUGCAACGCGAAGAACCUUACCUGGUCUUGACAUCCACAGAACUUUCCAGAGAUGGAUUGGUGCCUUCGGGAACUGUGAGACAGGUGCUGCAUGGCUGUCGUCAGCUCGUGUUGUGAAAUGUUGGGUUAAGUCCCGCAACGAGCGCAACCCUUAUCCUUUGUUGCCAGCGGUUAGGCCGGGAACUCAAAGGAGACUGCCAGUGAUAAACUGGAGGAAGGUGGGGAUGACGUCAAGUCAUCAUGGCCCUUACGACCAGGGCUACACACGUGCUACAAUGGCGCAUACAAAGAGAAGCGACCUCGCGAGAGCAAGCGGACCUCAUAAAGUGCGUCGUAGUCCGGAUUGGAGUCUGCAACUCGACUCCAUGAAGUCGGAAUCGCUAGUAAUCGUGGAUCAGAAUGCCACGGUGAAUACGUUCCCGGGCCUUGUACACACCGCCCGUCACACCAUGGGAGUGGGUUGCAAAAGAAGUAGGUAGCUUAACCUUCGGGAGGGCGCUUACCACUUUGUGAUUCAUGACUGGGGUGAAGUCGUAACAAGGUAACCGUAGGGGAACCUGCGGUUGGAUCACCUCCUUACCUGAAAGAAGC